UGGGAUAACCCCGGGAAACCGGGGCUAAUACCGGAUACUCCGGCCGUACCGCAUGACGCGGCCGGGAAAGCUCCGACGGUCUGGGAUGGGCCCGCGGCCUAUCAGCUUGUUGGUGAGGUAACGGCUCACCAAGGCGACGACGGGUAGCUGGUCUGAGAGGACGACCAGCCACACUGGAACUGAGAUACGGUCCAGACUCCUACGGGAGGCAGCAGUGGGGAAUCUUGCGCAAUGGGCGAAAGCCUGACGCAGCGACGCCGCGUGGGGGAUGAAGGCCUUCGGGUUGUAAACCCCUUUCGGCAGGGACGAAGCUAACGUGACGGUACCUGCAGAAGAAGUCCCGGCUAACUACGUGCCAGCAGCCGCGGUAAGACGUAGGGGACGAGCGUUGUCCGGAUUUAUUGGGCGUAAAGCGCGCGUAGGCGGCUCGGACAGUCGGAUGUGAAAAUCCGGGGCUCAACCCCGGACCUGCAUCCGAUACUUCCGGGCUAGAGGUAGGUAGGGGAGAUCGGAAUUCCUGGUGUAGCGGUGAAAUGCGCAGAUAUCAGGAGGAACACCGGUGGCGAAGGCGGAUCUCUGGGCCUUACCUGACGCUGAGGCGCGAAAGCUAGGGGAGCGAACAGGAUUAGAUACCCUGGUAGUCCUAGCCGUAAACGUUGGGUGCUAGGUGUGGGGGGACAUCGACCCCUUCCGUGCCGAAGCUAACGCAUUAAGCACCCCGCCUGGGGAGUACGGCCGCAAGGCUAAAACUC
rnacentral:rRNA from 1 species